rnacentral:rRNA from 1 species
AUUGAACGCUGGCGGCAGGCCUAACACAUGCAAGUCGAACGAGUGGCGGACGGGUGAGUAAUGUCUGGGAAACUUCCUGAUGGCGGGGGAUAACUACUGGGAACGGUAGCUAAUACCGAAUACAAUCAGAUGUGCCCAGAUGGGAUUAGCUAGUUGGGGGGGUAACGGAUCACCACGGCGACGAUCCCUAGCUGGUCUGAGAUGAUGACCAGCAACACUGGAACUGAUACACGGUCCAGACUCCUACGGGAGGCAGCAGUGGUGAAGAUUGCACAAUGGGCGCAAGCCUGAUGCAGCCAUGCCGCUUGUAUGAAGAAGGCCUUCGGGUUGUAAAGUACUUUCAGCGGGGAGGCGUUACCCGCAGAAGAAGCACCGGCUAACUCCGUGCCAGCAGCCGCGGUAAUUC